rnacentral:lncRNA from 1 species
GAAAGAUGAAGGGUAUCCACUUUCUUGAAGCUAUGAGCUUUACACUUGAGUCUUCUAUCACUGUAACCUCUAGGACUUACAAACUCAAACGUGUUUGCAAUUAGUUAUUUGGGGGGCCGACAUUAAAAUGAAUCUGGAAAUGAGAAAAUAAGACUACCAUUUGAGAAUAAACCUUUGAAAUAAAAAUACAGAAUGUCAGAGCACGUAAGAAAGGCAAGUUUAACUGUCAGAACGAUACAAAUUCAAAUGCUUCAAGGCAUGCACAUUACCAGUAGGAAAUGCGAGUCAAUGUCAUGGACCUGGUAGGGAUCUGGAAGAAGGGACUGAAAGGCAGCACCAAAGCCUCACCCACAGGGGACAGUCUCUACUAGGCUCCAGAGAAUUGACCUCACGUGGGAAGGGUCCAGGAAGGAUAGAGGAAGGGUCCAGGAAGGAUAGAUCUCUGGAUUUUUCAAAUAUUUUUUUCCAAUUUUUUAAGUUACGUGAAUACUCCUGAAUUUUAAAUCUUCACCUUUAUAUAGUAUGAGAUAAACUAAAGCUUUUGAAGGCCAGAUGUGCCAGUCUCGGAUUCUCAGAUAUGACCAUGCUCUAAACUGAUUCUGCCAAUAGGAAGGCAGUCUAGACCAAGAAACAGGUACAAAGCAACCUCAGAAGCAAGCAUAGUCCAUGAUCACUCAAAUGCUCAGGGAAAACCCUCAGGGAAAGGGUGCUCUGGGCUAGUGGCAUGCCCCUUUUUAUUAUAAAUCUGCCUUUAAUUCCAUUAAACCUAUGAGUCUGAGAAUCAACUGUCUUUUGACUCCAUGUGCUACUUUCCAUCAGGUUACUUUCUGAUUAGAAUUUGGUAUCCUGUUUACAUGACUUCAGGGAGAACAUGCUGGAAAGCUGAGGGACCUGAGGAUCUACGCAGCAGCUAUGUCUCCCAAUACAAAACUUGGUAAGUUGGCAGCCUGGUUAGAGAGGUGGCCUGUCUCCAGGCACAAAGAGCACUUCGGUGGGAACACGAGCUACCACACCCCAGCGGUUUCACUUCUUGUUGUAAAGGGAAGCAUUGUCAUUCUCGUUCUGUGCAUCAAUCAUAUGAGCUUUGUUAAUAGAAGCCCAGCUCUAGGGGACAGAUGGGCUCCAGAACUGCUGACAGCUCUGGUUUCUGGGCCCAUAAGGUCUUGGGCCAGACCAUGGAGAGUGAAAGACACCCUAAGACAAGUCCGCCCUGCAAGGCCUCAUGGGAGCUUAAGUAUUUAUCUUACAACCACCCUUACCCUCACUCUGCCCCCAUCGCCACACCUUUCAGAGAAUCCCUAUCUGGUCCUAUGA